UGGGGAAUAUUGCACAAUGGGCGAAAGCCUGAUGCAGCGACGCCGCGUGAGCGAAGAAGUAUUUCGGUAUGUAAAGCUCUAUCAGCAGGGAAGAAAAAAUGACGGUACCUGACUAAGAAGCACCGGCUAAAUACGUGCCAGCAGCCGCGGUAAUACGUAUGGUGCAAGCGUUAUCCGGAUUUACUGGGUGUAAAGGGAGCGCAGGCGGUGCGGCAAGUCUGAUGUGAAAGCCCGGGGCUCAACCCCGGAACUGCUUUUGAAACUGUAAGGCUGGAGUGCAGGAGGGGUGAGUGGAAUUCCUAGUGUAGCGGUGAAAUGCGUAGAUAUUAGGAGGAACACCAGUGGCGAAGGCGGCUCACUGGACUGUAACUGACACUGAGGCUCGAAAGCGUGGGGAGCAAACAGGAUUAGAUACCCUGGUAGU
rnacentral:rRNA from 1 species